GAUGAACGCUAGCGGCAGGCCUAACACAUGCAAGUCGAGGGAGAGGUUACCUUCGGGUACCCAAACCCGGCGCACGGGUGCGUAACGCGUAUACAAUCUGCCUUUCACAUAGGGAUAGCCCGAAGAAAUUUGGAUUAAUAACUAAUGGUAUAUAAGAGCGGCAUCGUUUUUAUAUUAAAGCUACGGCGGUGAAAGAUGAGUAUGCGUUCUAUUAGCUAGUUGGAGAGGUACCGGCUCCCCAAGGCGACGAUAGAUAGGGGUUCUGAGAGGGAUGUCCCCCACACUGGUACUGAGAUACGGACCAGACUCCUACGGGAGGCAGCAGUGAGGAAUAUUGGACAAUGGUCGGAAGACUGAUCCAGCCAUGCCGCGUGCAGGAUGAAGGUCCUAUGGAUGGUAAACUGCUUUUGUAAGGGAAGAAUAAGGAGUACGUGUACUUUGAUGACGGUACCUUACGAAUAAGCAUCGGCUAACUCCGUG
rnacentral:rRNA from 1 species